UUGCCAAGAAGCAACAACUUCGGAAUCUGAUUCAGACUCUGUCCCCAAAAAAUCUAGAUCGAGUAGUACAAAUUAUCAAACGUAGAAGGCUAACAAAAGGUGGACAAUCGUUCUAUGAGUGAACAUUGAUCUGGAUAAGGAGGAUACUGGAACACUUCGGAGAUUGUACUAUUACGUGCGAGCAGCUGAAAAUGUUAAACGGCUUUCAUUAGCGGAGCUGGUUGUGGUGAUAAACUAAGACAACUAAACAAGAAAGGGACAACAUCGAGCAUGAAGUUGGGAUUUCCAUAAAAGUGUGCAAGGGGCGGAUAGAUAUUCUGCAAAGAAAGGUAAAAUAUGAAGAUAAAGACGGGACUUCAAGUCCAUGGCUUUGCAUUAUGGUUGAUAAUUCCCAAGAUAACAUUGUGGCUCAGAUACGGUGUGGUAGGAAGACAUUUCAUGCCUCUUGUUUUUACCCGUCCUUUUGAUCAUUUUGAUUCUUUACAUUCUCGUGUCAGCUGUUUUGAGAAAUUACAGGUUUUGAUUCUCAGUGAGAGGCUUCAUGUGGUAACUGCUCAGUUUGACAAGUUAAAAACCAUAUACUUUUAAGAAGAUGUUAAUAGAACCACGUCGAGAAGAAAACCGCAAAAGGUGUCCAUUUCACACUCAACGGAUGCAUCUAGAUAUGUACGUGCAGAAGAGCAAGAAAGCACCUUCUUGUGUGAAUGUCCUUAACUGAUUCCUGUAUAUUUGUAUACAUGACUUGCUAAUGCAUCGGCCUUGGGAUGCAUCAUGUCCGCAGGGGUUUAUGGGUUCUUUUGGGCUCAUUGAAAUUCUCAAGCGGUAAAACUGAAAUAGCAGAAGUAUCAAAAUCUUUUGGGAUCUUGUUUCCUUUUCCCUCUUUAAUCAAUUUUUUGUCUUCCUGUUUUGCUUGUAUGUUGUCUUGGCAUUCACUUUGUAUAUUACUUUCUUUGAUAUUUUUGUAUUUUGCUUACUUGAGUACUAACACUUGCAUUUCCUUUGUUAUAUGAAUUGGUUCAACUCUCUUUUUAUGCAGGUUCUACAAGAUUCUUGCAAUUAUGGAGGUACUGCUGCUUACA